ACGCACGCUGGCGGCGUGCUUCACCCCUGCAAGUCGCACGGAAAGGCCCUGCUUUUGUGGGGUGCUCGAGUGGCGAACGGGUGAGUAACACGUGAGUAACCUGCCCUUGACUUUGGGAUAACUUCAGGAAACUGGGGCUAAUACCGGAUAGGAGCUCCUGCUGCAUGGUGGGGGUUGGAAAGUUUCGGCGGCUGGGGAUGGACUCGCGGCUUAUCAGCUUGUUGGUGGGGUAGUGGCUUACCAAGGCUUUGACGGGUAGCCGGCCUGAGAGGGUGACCGGCCACAUUGGGACUGAGAUACGGCCCAGACUCCUACGGGAGGCAGCAGUGGGGAAUAUUGCACAAUGGGCGGAAGCCUGAUGCAGCAACGCCGCGUGCGGGAUGACGGCCUUCGGGUUGUAAACCGCUUUCGCCUGUGACGAAGCGUGAGUGACGGUAAUGGGUAAAGAAGCACCGGCUAACUACGUG
rnacentral:rRNA from 1 species